GACGAACGCUGGCGGCGUGCUUAACACAUGCAAGUCGAACGGAAAGGCCUGCUUUCCCUUGUGGAUUGCGGGUACUCGAGUGGCGAACGGGUGAGUAACACGUGAGUGCUCUGCCCCCAACUUGGGUAUAAGCCUGGGAAACUGGGUCUAAUUCCCGAUAGGACUGCAGGGUGGUGCCUGUGGUGGAAAACGAUUUUCUAGUGGUUGGGGAUGAGCUCGCGGCCUAUCAGCUUGUUGGUGGGGUAAUGGCCUACCAAGGCGGCGACGGGUAGCCGGCCUGGGAGGGUGGACAGCAACAUUGGGACUGAGAUACGGCCCAGACUACGACGGGAGGCAGCAGUGGUGAAGAAUGCACAAAGGGCGGAAGCCUGAUGCAGCGACGCCGCGUGGGAGGUGACGGCCUUCGGGGUGGAAACUCCUUUCGACCGCGAGGAAGCCACCUGGUUGGAAGGGUGGUGACGGUAGUGGUAGAAGAAGCACCGGCUAACUACGUG
rnacentral:rRNA from 1 species